UGGGGCCUGGGCAAGGGCGGUGGCUGGAGGCCCGCCGUGACAGCAUGGCGCCGCCCGUCCUGUCCUCGCCAUGAGGCCGCAGCAGGCUCGGGUGUGCGGGAAGGUGUUCAUUCAGCAGGACUACAGCAGUGGCACACGCUGCCAGUUCCAGACCAAGUUCCCCGCGGAGCUGGAGAACCGGAUUGAUAGGUUCUAAAUAACCUUUAUGCAGAAGCCGAGAAGCUUGGGGGCCAAUCCUAUCUUGAAGGCUGUCUGGCUUGUUUAACGGCAUACACCAUCUUCUUAUGCAUGGAAACGCAUUACGAGAAGGUUCUGAAGAAAGUCUCCAAAUACAUUCAAGAGCAGAAUGAGAAAAUCUACGCUCCCCAAGGCCUCCUCCUGACAGACCCUAUCGAAAGAGGACUUCGAGUCAUUGAAAUCACCAUUUAUGAAGACACAGGCAUGAGCAGUGGAAGAUAAACCAUGGAAUUAAAGAUCCCGCCUCCAGCUGGGACCCUCGUCUAUCCACUGGCUGAUUGCAGAGUGUCCCUACCUCCUCUCCAGAGCAUCAUUCCUUUGUAUCCGCUGCCAGAGCCACGGUGCCAUUUACUCCAAGGACUAACUUUCUAAAUCCCACACCUGGAGUGACCUCUAGUCGCUCAGCGUCCACUCUGUGUCUCCAAAUUGUGCAGGACUCUGUAAUCUUCUGACUAGUUUCUGAGAAAACAUAAUGAAGCAUUUCACUUUUUAUUCAAAGCCAUUUAACAAAAUAUGCAUUUGGCCAGCCCUGCCCGAUACAAAGU